GGAGAGGAAGCAAGAGUCAUACUGGGGAGGGGUCACCCACCCGAACCGGCCCCCACUUGGCUCCCUGGGCCCCUUCGAUAGUCCUCGCUGAGGUCGGUGCUAAGGACACCCUCUUAACAGGUGGGGGUAAAUCCAGAGAAGCCAGGAGGGCAGAGGCGGGGGUCUCCUUCCCCCCACCUCUCCCAGGCCCCCGCUUAAUCCUCAUGGCCACCUGCCCAGGCUGCGGGUGAGUGGUGGGGCCAGGCCAGCUCUGGAUGUGUGCCUGUCAGCAAGCGCCACAUUCAGGAAUGGCAGCCACCCUAACCAUCACUGCAGCAAGGCCACAAGAGCACCAGCGCCUGACGCCUCGGGCUGGUUUGCGGGGCUUCUGCACGUGCAUAUCCGGUGUGGCACCUGCCCGGGGCCAUGCCGCACAAGCCCUCCAGGGUCCUCAGACGGCUGGCGCCCCACCCAGCAGCCCCCUCGGCCUUCCCGAAGGGCAGAGGUCUGAAGCACGAGAAGGCUGGAAGUGCGGAGUGACCCCACCAUCUGCCACCCCACACACCAAAUUCCUGCUCCAGAGAUGUGGCCGGGUGCCCAGCCGGAUGGAGGAAUGUGCCGGAGAAGCACAGGCCUGAGGGGCGUCCCAGAGAAGUGGGGGGCGCCAGGGACCCCAGGAGGAGCCCCCGCCUUGGCCUCCCUCCCUGCCCGGCCCGUCUCCAGCGUCCAGUGAGGGGAAGUUCUGUGGGACCUGACCUGAGGCCUCACCACCUCCACGUCCUGGGAGCCUUCUCGUGGAUCCAGGCCCUGGGAGGCGGAGCCCCCUUUCCAAACUGGAAUCAGGACUUGUCUCCGCACCCCACCCCCAGCUCCUCAAGGGCCUUUCAUUCUGGAUAAACAAGCCCUGCCUGGCUGGCCUUGAGGCCUGGCCUCUCCUCCUGUUUUUCUAACUGGUUUAUAUUAGCGCUGGUGGCCUCCUUCCCAGCCCUCCUCCCUCCUCUGCGCCCCCGCCCUUGUCUGUCUCUCUCCAUAGGCCUCGACCGCUCUAUUGCUCCAUCUCGGGCCUCUGUUCCUGCCUCUGGCGGCCAGGCUGUCUGUCCUCCACAGAGGGAAGGUGUCCAGGCAGGGCUGAAGGGAGGCAGAGACGGCCCAGGUCCGGCCCCUCAGUCUGCAAGGGGAGUGGGGUCAGCUCCCAGCGCUGAGCUAGGAGCCUGGAAGCACCCGGGCCACACCCUAAACUCCCUGCAGAGCCCUCCCUGUCUCAGCCCUGCGUGGAGGUGGGUGGAUUCCUGGCAUCGCAGAUCCAGCCCUCGGCUCAGCCCCCGUGCAGAAGUCUGAAGGAGGAAGCACACUCCUGGCACCCCUGGGCAAGGAUGGACAGGGCAGGGGAAGGCUGCAAACCCCUCCUCCCUGCCCCAUCCUGUUCCCUCUGCUUGAGCCCACCUCCCCGGUCCUUGGCAGGAAAUAGCCGCAGAUGAGAACAGAGGCCCAGGAGAGAACAGACCGGAACUAAACGGCCACCGCAACAUCACUGCGGUCCUCCUGAGCUCCAGCCCAGCCCCAGCCGGACCAGAGCCCUGGACCCACACCCCCUCCCCUAGGAGUCCAGGCCAGACAAGGCGGGCCAGCCAGCGAGCCCCACUGAGACUCAGACUCCGACUCUGGCUCCAACCCUGGGGACCCGGACGUUCCAGUCAGCCAGGGUCACCGGGGGGAAACCACAGGCACUCAGAGGCACAACCAGACCCACAGACACGUGUUCACACAUGCCGUCAUUCAGCAGACGCUGCGCACCUGCUGUGUGCCAGGCACUGGGAUUCAGCACUGCACCGGAAGCCAAGCUCCUGCCCUCUUGGAGCUGUUAGAGGGCAGGCAGCCUGCAGACCCAGUUGCUGAUGAAUGAGCUCUUUUUAAACAUGGCGAGAUUAAAGCAGGUAAGGGGCUCCCUCCGCCAGACCAGCCAGGACAGCCUCUCGGGGACCCACACCCACAAGUGAAUAGCUAGGCUGGGGCCCAGGAAGCUGCCUGCCGGGUAAGGGAGAGCGUGCUGGGCUCUCACGUGAACUACGAUGAGGCCUAAGGGGGUUUACGUGCGGGAGAGAUGUGGUCUGGUGAUGCAGGAAACGCCAAGAUGGUUAGUUUAGAGCUGUCAGGAUUUAGACGAACACACCAGGGAAAUGGACAGAGUUCUGAGAUGCUCCCCAGGGCACCCAGCCCGUUUCCUCCCCAAGAGUGUGACCAAGUUUCCUCCCCAAGAGUGUGACCAACCUCGGAGGGAUAGCCCUUCGCACCCACGUGACAGACAGUGACUGCAAGUUGCUCCCUGAGGCAGAGUAUGCAUCUAGGCGGCUGAAAAGCCUCAGCUUCUCUCACCCCGCUGGGCUGUGAAAGGGCCCAUGGGGUUGACCAAGUGCAAAACCCUGAGGCCCCAGCCACCACCACCCCACACCCCCGCCCCCGCAAGAAGAAAGUGGAUCUCAGUCCUACAACCGCAAGGAACUGGAACGGAUUAUGCCACCCACCAGAUUAGCCUGGAAGAGGACCCCAGGUGAGGACGCAGCCCUGCCGACACAGGUUUCACCUGGUGAGACCCUGGGCCGAGCUCCCAGCAAACUCACAUCCAGACGCGUGCCCCAUGCAAGCCGCGCGGUAAUGAACACGUUGUGGGAAGCUGCUGAAUUUGUGUUGAUUUUUGAUGCAGCAACAGGAGACACAUGCGACUGUCUCCCUGAGCAAAGCAGGGGCAGGACUUAAAAGGACAAAAGCACAGGUCUCAGGGAUGGUGCCUCAUUAGGGACUGGCUUGUGGGUGGGUCGCUGAGCAGCAGGGUCCCCGGGGUGUCCUCGGGAGCUGCACUGACCCACCAUCAUCAGCACGAGGUGAGGCCAGAGCGUGGUGCCGUGUCACAGGCCACGGCACUCGCCAUUUCCCCCUCACGCUGCUUUUCUGCUCAUUCUCACCAGGUCUCGUAGAAGCACCAGGUCACUUGUGAGUGUGUUGGUCCUUCUUCUGGGGACCUGGUGGCCUGCCCGGUGCCAGGGCUCACCCGGUGAGGCAGGGGCUCUGCAGGCCCCGUGUCCGAAGAGCCGGGUGUCCCGUGGAGGCUCUCUUCUCCUUCCGGUGGAGACCACAGGUCAGACAGAGGCUGGGAGAUCAUCAGUCCACUGAGACGCUGAUUCGAAAAUACAGACGAGAAAAUCUGGAAAUAUAGAUCCAUUAUUUCAUGGGCCAGCCCUUUUAUCCUGAGAAAAUGUCAGGGAGCCAAGAUCAAGGAUUUUAGCGGUCGUGGUCAAACCCACAUCAGUGGUUUCCUGCGUGGCAUUAACAGGGUUCAGGCACCCCUCACUGUACUGCGCUUCACAGACCCUGCCCUUUUUACAAACUGAAGUUUUGGGGUGACCCUGUGUCAGGCAAGUCUAUCAGUGCCAUUUUCCCAACAGCGUUUGCUCACUUCAUGUCUCUGUGUCACACUUUGGUAGUUCUCACAUUAUUUCAAACCUUCCACCAGCAAAAAAUUCUGACUCGCUGAAGCCUCAGAUGAUGGUUAGCAUUUCUUGGAGACAAAGUAGUUUUAAAUUAAGGCAUGUAAAAUUAAAAAAAAAAAUUAUGGGACUUCCCUGGUAGUGCAGUGGUUAAGAAUCCACCUGCCAACGCAGGGGACACGGGUUCG